UCUAUUUAAUUUCAAAUCCCUAAAUUUGUUUCUUCAAAGUUUUCAUUUCCUUUCUGUAGAUGCGUAUUUUUGGGGUUUAACUAGUUUUUUUGGUAUCAGUACGAUAAUCAUGUUCCAAAGAAGAACAUCUACACCGGUUGUCCUGAAUUUUGGUUGAUCCAGUCUGAAGACUGGUUCAAUUUCCACUCCUCUGGUCCACAAGAUCAAUAUGUUCAAUCCUGCUGCUCCCACCGAAAAAAUCAAGGGAAUCCAGGAUCUUUUGGUGGAGCAUGGUGCAUCCCAGGAGUAGCUGAAAAUGAAUAACAUGCAGAGGCUAUUGCAGCUUGGGAGGCGAUCAAAUGGGCGAAAACAAACAACAUACAAAAGUUGCAUUUGGAAGGAGACUGUUUGAAUGUGGUUCUGGCAAUAAAUGGAAAUCUAGAAUCUGUUGGAUGGACCAAUAACCCGAUUAUUAAGGAUUGUAAGGAACUGUUGGGAAGUUUCAUUAGUUGGGUCUGUGUUCAUGUUCCGAGAGAUACAAAUGAAGUAGCCCAUUG